rnacentral:tRNA from 1 species
UGAUCUGCAGGAUAGGUACAAGCUUGCAAGUAUUCUCUCUUAGUAUAAUAACAGAAGAUGGGCUUAAUUUUCCCAGUAACCAAUUGUGAGAACACAUGCGAAAUGCUUCCUGGAGUGUUUCUGGGGGCUCAUCAGGUGGGCACUAUGUGUUGCGCGUGUAACAAAUUCCCAAACUCUCAGAAGGUGGGACGCCAGAAAUUUUCAUAUUUUUUCCAUAUAGAGUUUAGGCACCAAGCUACUCUUACAUAGGUCAUUGGGCUCCUUCCCCAAAUCCGUUUCCCAGAUACCAGGAAUGGAUGUGAUGCAGGACAGGUGCGCCCUAAAAUUGGGGCUUAUCCUAGGAUGGUUUCCGGCUUUGCCCAGGGAAGAAUUCAAGGGCAGGCCAGUGGUGUUAGAUAACAGUGUUUUAUUUAACAGUACUGGUCUUUGUGGAUCAGUGCUAACUCAUAGGCAGUACACCCAGAGUCAGCAACAUAUGGUCUCUUGGCAACUAUAUUUAUACCCACUUUCAAUUAUAUGCAAAUUAAGUGGUGGGUUAUUUAAAACUUUCUAAGGAAGGAAUGAUAACUUUCAGGUCAUUGCCAUGGCAUUUGUAAGCUGUCAUAGCAUUGGUGGGAGUGUUUUAUGCUAAUGAGCAGUGAGAGCAUCUGGAGAUCGCUGUUCUUGUCGUCUGCUGGUUUUGGCCCCUUUCUUUACUUUAUCCUACCUGUGCCAGAUCUUGUUUUGGCCAGUAGGGUUGUGAUCAGAAUACAAGUCCUGUUGGUCUCCUACCUCAGAUGAAUGUUGUGAGGAGUGAGGAGCCUUUUUUUAAGGGUAAGCAGUCUCAGGACUGCUAAUAUAAACUCUUUUGCAUAGUAGGUGGUAGGACUUCGUUAUGACAGGUUCUACAGGUCCACUGUAUGAGCAGACAUUAGCUGGGACUCAGGCAGCACGUAUUACUCCUUGCAACCACCACCAAGAAAGAUGAUCAGACACUGCUAUUGUUCUACCCAAUAGUUCAAUUCUAGUAUGAGAGUUGCUGUGUGGAAGGAAGUGAGUAUGAUGACCAAACAGUGGAGUAAAUGUUUGCAGACCCCUGAAACAUGUGAACUUCUUAUGAAUUGAGUACAGCUCCCCAGCCCUGUCUGUCUCACCCAUUCUCCUCUCCACAUAUGUGGGAUGUUUCAGGACUCGGUGGCUUUUGAGGAUGUAGAUGUGAACUUCACCCAGGAGGAGUGGGCUUUGCUAGAUCCUUCCCAGAAGAAUCUCUACAGAGAUGUGAUGUGGGAAACCAUGAGGAAUCUGGCCUCUAUAGGGAAAAAAUGGAAGGACCAGAACAUUAAGGAUCACUACAAACACCGAGGGAGAAAUCUAAGAAGUCAUAUGUUAGAAAGACUCUAUCAAACUAAGGAUGGUAGUCAGCGUGGAGGAAUUUUUAGCCAGUUUGCAAAUCAGAAUCUGAGCAAGAAAAUCCCUGGAGUGAAACUCUGUGAAAGCAUUGUAUAUGGAGAAGUCAGCAUGGGUCAGUCAUCCCUUAAUAGACACAUCAAAGAUCACAGUGGACAUGAACCAAAGGAAUAUCAGGAAUAUGGAGAGAAGCCAGAUACACGUAACCAGUGUUGGAAACCCUUCAGUUCUCACCACUCCUUUCGAACACAUGAGAUAAUUCACACUGGAGAAAAACUCUAUGAUUGUAAGGAAUGUGGAAAAACCUUCUUUUCUCUCAAAAGAAUUAGAAGACACAUCAUCACACACAGUGGAUAUACACCAUAUAAAUGUAAGGUGUGUGGGAAAGCUUUUGAUUAUCCCAGUAGAUUUCGAACACAUGAAAGAAGUCACACUGGAGAGAAACCCUAUGAAUGUAAGGAAUGUGGAAAAGCCUUCACUUGUAUCACAAGUGUUCGAAGACACAUGAUAAAGCACACUGGAGAUGGACCUUAUAAAUGUAAGGUAUGUGGGAAACCCUUUCAUUCUCUGAGUUCAUUUCAAGUGCAUGAAAGAAUUCACACUGGAGAAAAACCCUUUAAAUGUAAGCAAUGUGGUAAAGCCUUCAGUUGUUCCCCAACCUUACGAAUACAUGAAAGAACCCAUACUGGAGAGAAACCUUAUGAAUGCAAGCAGUGUGGGAAGGCCUUCAGUUAUCUCCCCUCCCUUCGACUACAUGAAAGAAUUCACACUGGUGAGAAACCCUUCGUAUGUAAACAAUGUGGUAAAGCCUUUAGAUCUGCCAGUACCUUUCAAAUACAUGAAAGGACUCACACUGGAGAAAAACCCUAUGAAUGUAAGGAAUGUGGGGAAGCAUUCAGUUGUAUCCCAAGUAUGCGAAGACACAUGAUAAAACAUACUGGAGAAGGACCUUAUAAAUGUAAGGUAUGUGGGAAACCCUUUCAUUCUCUGAGUCCAUUUCGAAUACAUGAAAGAACUCACACUGGAGAGAAACCUUAUGUAUGUAAACAUUGUGGUAAAGCUUUCGUUUCUUCAACAUCAAUUCGAAUACAUGAAAGAACUCAUACUGGAGAGAAACCCUAUGAGUGUAAGCAAUGUGGGAAAGCCUUCAGUUAUCUCAACUCCUUUCGAACACAUGAAAUGAUUCACACUGGUGAGAAACCCUUUGAAUGUAAGCGAUGUGGUAAAGCCUUUAGAUCUUCUAGUUCCUUUCGACUACAUGAAAGGACUCACACUGGACAGAAACCCUAUCAUUGCAAGGAAUGUGGGAAAGCCUAUUCUUGCCGUGCCAGCUUUCAGAGACACAUGUUAACACAUGCUGAAGAUGGACCACCUUAUAAAUGCAUGUGGGAAAGCCUUUAAUGCUCUGGGUUCAUGUCAGAUACAUUAAAAUACUCACUGAAGAGAAGCCCUAUGAAUGUAAGUAACGUGGGAAAGCAUGAAAUUCUGUCAGUGCCUUUUUUAAUACAUGAAAGAAUUCUAGAGAGAAGCCAUAUACAUGUAAGUAACAUGGGAAAGCUUUCAAUCAUUUUAGUUCCUUUCAAAUACAUGAAAGAACUCAUCAUGGAGAAAACCAAACAAAUGCUUUUUGGAAAGGAACCCAUAUUUGAGAGAAACCCUGGGUAAAGGGUGUAGGAAAGGUUUUGUCAUCACACAACCCUGUCACACAUGAAUGCGUAGUGGAGAGAACCUUGGUAAAUGUAAAGAGUGUGGGAGAGCCUUUAGUCAUUUUAGUUCCACUUGAAGCCAUGAAAGAACACACAAAAGAGAAAGCUCUUGAAUAUAAGCAAUGUCCAAACGUUUUUAGCCAGCCCACAUGCUUUCGACAACAUGUAAGAAUGUACCCUGGAUCAAAACACUAUAAAUGUGAAAACUACAAGGAAGGUUUUCCAUUAUACUUUUAAAGUCAUUUGAGGGCUCUGUGGCUUUGUGGGUUAAAGUACUUGUCUGGCAAACAGGAGAUGCUGGAUUUCAAUCCCAGCAGGGCCUCACUAGUUGAGGUAUUGAAUUUGAACAGAUGUUUUGGCUCUGGCUGGGUGUGGUGGCUCACACCUGUAAUCCCAGCACUUUGGGAGGCUGAGGCAGGAGGAUCACUUGAGGUCAGGAGUUUGAGACCAGUGUGCAAAACAUAGCAAGACCUCAUCUCAG